GAUGAACGCUGGCGGCGUGCUUAACACAUGCAAGUCGAACGGAAAGGCCCCAGCUUGCUGGGGUACUCGAGUGGCGAACGGGUGAGUACCACGUGGGUGAUCUGCCCUGCACUUUGGGAUAAGCUUGGGAAACUGGGUCUAAUACCGAAUAUGACCACUUCUUGGAUGUUGUGGUGGAAAGCUUUUGCGGUGUGGGAUGAGCCUGCGGCCUAUCAGCUUGUGGGUGGGGUAAUGGCCUACCAAGGAGGCGACGGGUAUCCGGCCUGAGAGGGUGUACGGAUACAGUGGGACGGAGAUACGGCCUAGACUCCUACGGGAGGCAGCAGUGGGGAAUAUUGCACAAUGGGCGCAAGCCUGAUGCAGCGACGCCGCGUGGGGGAUGAAGGCCUUCGGGUUGUAAACUCCUUUCGCUAUCGACGAAGCCACUUGUGGUGACGGUAGGUAGAUAAGAAGCACCGGCUAACUACGUGCCAGCAGCCGCAGUAA
rnacentral:rRNA from 1 species